UCUAUAGACAUUCCAAGGAGCCAAAGUAUUGAGUUUGGAUACAGUCCUCCACUGAAAGUUAUCACAGCAACCAGAGUGGAGCAGACCUUCCCAAGCCUGACUGACCACCCUUACCUCCAAGCCAAGCCUAAUGC